rnacentral:rRNA from 1 species
UACAGAGGUCUCAAGCGUUGUUCGGAUUCAUUGGGCGUAAAGGGUGCGUAGGCGGCGCGGUAAGUCGGGUGUGAAAUCUCGGAGCUUAACUCCGAAACUGCAUUCGAUACUGCGUGCUUGAGGACUGGAGAGGAGACUGGAAUUUACGGUGUAGCGGUGAAAUGCGUAGAUAUCGUAAGGAAGACCAGUGGCGAAGGCGGGUCUCUGGACAGUUCCUGACGCUGAGGCACGAAGGUCAGGGGGAGCAAACGGG